rnacentral:rRNA from 1 species
GUACACGCUGUGACUAGCAUAUCAAUAAGCGGAGGAAAAGAAACUAACAAGGAUUCCCCUUAGUAACGGCGAGUGAGGCGGGAAGAGCUCAAAUUUGAAAUCUUCAAGGGUUUACCUUUACGAAUUGUAGUUUAAAGAAGUGUUUUCUCUUGAGGUUUUGGUAAAAGUUCUUUGGAAUAGGACAUCAUAGAGGGUGAGAAUCCCGUAUUUGACCGUUAUUUUCAGCUUUGUGAUACACUUUCAAAGAGUCGGAUUGUUUGGGAAUGCAGUCCAAAAUGGGUGGUAAAUUUCAUCUAAAGCUAAAUAUUGGCGAGAGACCGAUAGCGAACAAGUACCGUGAGGGAAAGAUGAAAAGAACUUUGAAAAGAGAGUUAAACAGUACGUGAAAUUGUCAAAAGGGAAGCGUUUGACACCAGUGUUGUUUUCCUCGAAAAUCAAUUAAAAAUGGCUCGAUUUUGUAUUGCUUGAGACCUUAAAAGCUCACUGUACAUUUUUCGUGUCUUUUUCUAAUGCACUUUUCGUUUAACAAGUCAACAUCAGUUUCUUUUGUUGUAAAAGGGUCAUUGGAAGGUGGCUUUCUUUUCGGAGAAAGUGUUUAUAGCCUUUGGCCUCUGCAAUCGGAGAGACUGAGGUCUGCAGCGUAGAUCCUUCGGGGUUAGAUACAUUUGUGCUAAGUUAUAGCUUUUUAUAGACAACUUGUUGACUAUAAUUAGUCUUGUAGCUUCCUCGCUUAUGCUAUUUUACCUACGCUUAGGAUGUUGAGCGCAUGUCUCUCUCU